UCUGCACACUGUUAGAGCCCGGCACUGCCUGCUGCGUGGGGUGCGGGGUGUAGGUUGUGUGCUACAGCAACUGCAAGAUCUCUGAUUUCCGUCUCUAAUUUUAUGAUUUGGAGAGGGAAUACAGUUGGAUUGUGCAACACUG
rnacentral:snoRNA from 1 species